rnacentral:rRNA from 1 species
CCUACGGGAGGCAGCAGUGAGGAAUCUUGGUCAAUGGACGAGAGUCUGAACCAGCCAAGUAGCGUGAAGGAUGACUGCCCUAUGGGUUGUAAACUUCUUUUAUAAAGGAAUAAAACGAGGCACGUGUGCCUUUUUGCAUGUACUUUAUGAAUAAGGAUCGGCUAACUCCGUGCCAGCAGCCGCGGUAAUACGGAGGAUCCGAGCGUUAUCCGGAUUUAUUGGGUUUAAAGGGAGCGUAGAUGGGUUGUUAAGUUAGUUGUGAAAGUUUGUGGCUCAACCGUAAAAUUGCAAUUGAUACUGGCAGUCUUGAGUACAGUUGAGGUAGGCGGAAUGCGUGGUGUAGCGGUGAAAUGCUUAGAUAUCACGAAGAACCCCGAUUGCGAAGGCAGCUUACUAAACUGUGACUGACAUUGAUGCUCGAAAGUGUGGGGAUCAAACAGGAUUAGAUACCCCUGUAGUC